UCGUGCCGUUCCGACCUCGUUUGAUACGGUUAUGGUUAACCACACGGCCCCUCGGGCCCGACCCGAGCCCAGUCAACGUUUUGACCCGAUCAAAUCGGCCCGUGACCCGAAACGACCCUACUUGGGCCCUACAACAGCCACGUAAAGUUUCGGGAUGAUCCGACGUUCUUUCAUGGGGUUACGGACAAUCCACGCCAAACAAGCGUCACGGGCCGACCGAGCCGGGCCAACGGGCCCUCGGGACCCGAAAACUGAAUUUUUUUUCAUCCAAACCCAUUAAAACACGUUACCGAGGUCUCACGCAAAAUUUCAUGCCAAUCCGACGUCGUUUGAUGGGGUUUUUUGAAAUUUGUAGUUCUGCGAAAGAAAUAAACAAAUGAUAUAUCAAAUAAAUCAAUUGAGGUUGUUAGGGUAAAAAAAGAAUGUCAAUGUGAGGAUUCGAACCCACGACCGCCUUGAUGUUUAGUUUUAAGAGAAAAGGCAAUAGGCCAAUUGAUCCAAGGGAAAUUUUUGUAGAAACUUUAACAAGAAAUAUAUAUAACUUCUCCGCACUUGUUAAUUGUUAUUUUCCAAAACUUUUAGAGGGCUUUUAAAAGUAUAGAUUAGACAAUGGUCACAAAUUAAUUGAAAACGGAAAUGGAGGUUUUUCUAACAAGUUAUGGCCGGUCAAAGUGCCCAAAAGAGUCAAAAUUAGCAUAAACAAUCUUAAUUGAAGGUGAGGGAGGCAAAAUUAGGAAUUUUUUUCUGGCCAAACCGCCUUCGGCAGUUUGCCAGCGUGUAGAGCUCGAAAAAAUAAGCAACUUUAAAAAAAGAAUCAGGUCAUUCCGAGGUGUGUGUCAAGAGUUAUCACCUUUCAAAGUUUUGGGAAAUGUUUCCAUAAAAGUUUUGGGAAAGGUUAUAAAACUUAUGGUUAACUGGUAUGCUAUUUUAACAUACAUCAUUCCUCGAUUUCUAGAUUACGAGCUACUCUCUUACAUGUAUGCCCUGGCUAUUCUAUUUAAUUGUCAGUACUGAUUAUGUUCUGAUAACCAGCUACUGUCUUAAAACUUGCAUCAAAGUUAACAUUGCCAUGGCUUACUUGGAUGAAGAGGCUGCAAAACCAAAUCAUAUUUUCUGACUAGGUUUCUUUCAGAGUUACGAGUUACUGAUAUGUUGAGCUGGAUCAUUAUUUGGACUAAGUUUGUUUCAGAGUUACUGAUAUCUACAUGGUUGACACCAGCUAUGGGGACGCGUAAUAAUAAGUAUAUAAAUUUACUGGCGCGUUGAACUGCAUCAGAAUAUUGCAUGUUAAAACUUGCAUCAAAGUUUGCAUGCAUAUUGCCGUGGGAGAUUUGAAUCAUUAACAAACUCGUGACCAAUUCUUUGAAUCAUUGGCUGUGUCGUGACCCACGUUAAGCGGAACAAAUCCACGGACCCCAAAAAGUAGUAGAAGCGGUAUAUAAAAUUUUCUAUGGACCCCAUAAAAUAAUUUACUUUGGACCCUAUAACAAUGAGAGUGAGCCUGGUGUAGUGGUAAAACCCCUUGUUUAUACACAAGAGGUCCCUAGUUCGAUACCUGUUUGUUUUGUUUUUUUUGUGUUUUUUUAAACCUGAAUCACUCUAUUUUUUUUUCUAUUUCAUUUUUUUCUCACCUAUAUUUACCUUAAACUGUAUUUUUAACAUAAAAUACUGCCCUCCUUCAAAUAUCUUUGUCUUGCACAACUCUUGCACAUCCCAUCAUGGAAGACUUUUGAUAUCUUGCAUGUUUAUUGAACUCCAUAUUCUCGUUUGAUACCCCACACAUUCAACUCCCGUAUCCAUCCCCAGCUAAUAAUAUCCCCCGAUGAUACAUCUUGAUUUCUCUGGGCAUAGAUUUAAACCAUGACUUGCGACCUUCUCUAAUUUGAUCUUUUCUUCAAUCUUUCUUUUCAAUAAAUCAUCACUUUCACAUCUCACAUCUCACAUCUCAGAAAAUGUUGGGAAGUGUCUGCACCAGAAUAACAAUAUCUUGAAAAACUUCUGGAAUAUAGUUAAACAAAUAGUCAGCAGGCUUUGUUUGUUAUAUCUAUGUUUUUGAACUCCUCUUCAAAAUCCUUUAUGUUCAUAAGUUUAGGUGGUUUAUGCUACGUAGGUAUCUGAUUGUCUUCGAGCCUCCAACUUUCCCGCCAUCAAACUUAAUUUUCAAAGCCGCCCACAAAGAUUUUGAUGUUUUAUCGUAUCUUCAUCGAACCAAAGAAAUUAUGUCAUUUCUAACUGAUUGUUGU
rnacentral:rRNA from 1 species